rnacentral:rRNA from 1 species
CUCUUAACGGGGGAUCACUCGG